rnacentral:rRNA from 1 species
AGACAGAGGGUGCAAACGUUGCUCGGAAUUACUGGGCGUAAAGGGCGUGUAGGCGGGAAGGUAAGUCGGGCGUGAAAUCCCCAAGCUCAACUUGGGAACUGCACUCGAAACUACCUUUCUUGAGUGUCGGAGAGGAAAGCGGAAUUCCUGGUGUAGAGGUGAAAUUCGUAGAUAUCAGGAGGAACACCAGUGGCGAAGGCGGCUUUCUGGACGAUAACUGACGCUGAGACGCGAAAGCGUGGGGAGCAAACAGGAUUAGAUACCCUGGUAGUCCACGCCGUAAACGAUGAGUGCUAGGUGUCGUGGGUAUUGACCCCUGCGGUGCCGUAGCUAACGCAUUAAGCACUCCGCCUGGGAAGUACGGUCGCAAGACUAAA